ACGAGCUGGGAUGGCCGAUCAGCAGAUGGUGAGGCGAGAGGCGGAGAGUCGAGGCCGAGAACCUCAUGACGGAGCCGGAGAGAGAGCCCGACUGCCCCUUGACGGAGCCGGAGAGAGAGCCCGACUGCCCCUUGACGGAGCCGGAGAGAGAGCACUCUGACGGAGCUGCUGAGGAGGCCGCAGUAAAGAACUGACCAGCCAUGUCCGCUAAAGCCAUAUCUGAGCAGACGGGUAAAGAAUUUCUUUACAAGUAUAUCUCCACGAAGGGUGCAGUCCAGAACAAGUUCAGAUAUGCCAGAUUGAGACCUGACACUGACUGGGACCUCCUAGUCCAAGAGCAUCCUUGGCUUCUGACAGAGCGUUUGGUGGUGAAGCCAGAUCAGCUGAUUAAACGUCGUGGGAAACUGGGCUUGAUUGGAGUUAAUCUGGAUUUGAAUGGGGUAAAGGAAUGGUUAAAGCCACGUUUGGGAUUGGAAAC